AACAGGAUUAGAUACCCUGGUAGUCCACGCUGUAAACGAUGUCGACUUGGAGGUUGUGCCCUUGAGGCGUGGCUUCCGGAGCUAACGCGUUAAGUCGACCGCCUGGGGAGUACGGCCGCAAGGUUAAAACUCAAAUGAAUUGACGGGGGCCCGCACAAGCGGUGGAGCAUGUGGUUUAAUUCGAUGCAACGCGAAGAACCUUACCUACUCUUGACAUCCAGAGAAUUCGCUAGAGAUAGCUUAGUGCCUUCGGGAACUCUGAGACAGGUGCUGCAUGGCUGUCGUCAGCUCGUGUUGUGAAAUGUUGGGUUAAGUCCCGCAACGAGCGCAACCCUUAUCCUUUGUUGCCAGCACGUAAUGGUGGGAACUCAAAGGAGACUGCCGGUGAUAAACCGGAGGAAGGUGGGGAUGACGUCAAGUCAUCAUGGCCCUUACGAGUAGGGCUACACACGUGCUACAAUGGCGUAUACAAAGAGAAGCGAACUCGCGAGAGCAAGCGGACCUCAUAAAGUACGUCGUAGUCCGGAUCGGAGUCUGCAACUCGACUCCGUGAAGUCGGAAUCGCUAGUAAUCGUAGAUCAGAAUGCUACGGUGAAUACGUUCCCGGGCCUUGUACACACCGCCCGUCACACCAUGGGAGUGGGUUGCAAAAGAAGUAGGUAGCUUAACCUUCGGGAGGGCGCUUACCACUUUGUGAUUCAUGACUGGGGUGAAGUCGUAACAAGGUAACC
rnacentral:rRNA from 1 species